rnacentral:lncRNA from 1 species
UGUAAAGUACAUCAGAGUUUUAUUUAAAUAGCUUAUAUACACACUUUAAUUGGAUUAAUAAAGGAACCACUAAAAUGAAUGCAACCAUAUAAAAAUGAAACCUGUAUUUCAACAUGAUGUAGCUAAGGCAAUAGAUGGCUUUUUCUCUUUCUGCUUUACCGACAUUCUUGUCAACCUAAGGAUAAACUCACUGUGUUAUGCAGUGUUAAGUACAUAUUUUAGAAGUUAUACCCAAAAUACCAAGAAGACUAGAUAUCAGAGAAUAUGACAUCAUGAAAAUAAGUAGCUACUUUUCAUAAAUUUCUCUGAAUAACAACAAACAUCAUAUAUUUUUCUGAAUAAUGUCACAAACUUGAUUAAUGGUGAAAACAAUGAAUUGAUUUUUAAGUCAUGUGAUACUGUGAGUAAAUUCUAUUAAAAUGUUUAUCACAUUAAUCACACAUUAAUCUUGUACUCAGUGGCAUUACUUGGAUACACAGUAGGACAGAAUGAAUACUGAAUGAACUACUGAUUUAUCAAAAUGAGACCAUGUAAAUUAGAUAAAAUACCAAUAUUUAACACAAAUGUAAAUUAUCACAUAUAUUUUAUACACAAUGAUUAUAAAGUUAACUCAUGAAAUAUUCAAAGUUUAGAAGUCUCCUCCAAUAAGUCAACUAUACUUCAAUAACAAAAAAAGGAAGUCUCUUCCAUUCUGACAUUUGC